CCCGGUUUCCGUGUAUAAUGUUUGACCGUCCGUCUUAUUUGAAAAAAUUAUAAAAAAAUUAAAGACAAGUCACACAUAAAAUAUUAAUUAUGUUUUAUCAUCUAACAACAAUGAAAAUACGAAUUAUAAAAAAAUUUCAUAUAAGACGGACAGUUAAAAUUGGACACGGAAACUUAAGGUUUAUCUUUUU
rnacentral:pre_miRNA from 1 species